GAUUAUGGCUCAGGAUAACGCUGGCGGCGUGCCUAAUACAUGCAAGUCGAAUGGUAGCAAUACCAUGGCGAACGGGUGAGUAACACGUAGGUAACCUGUCUUUAAGACGAGGAUAACCGUUGGAAACGACGGAUAAUACUCGAUAGGUGAUUUGAGGGCAUCCUUGGAUCAUUAAAGAUUUAUCACUUAGAGAGGGGCCUGCGGCGCAUUAGCUAGAUGGCGGUGUAAUGGACCACCAUGGCGAUGAUGCGUAGCCGGACUGAGAGGUUGAACGGCCACAAUGGAACUGAGAACGGUCCAUACUCCUACGGGAGGCAGCAGUAGGGAAUUUUCGGCAAUGGGCGAAAGCCUGACCGAGCCAACGCCGCGUGAACGAAGAAGUAUUUCGGUAUGUAAAGUUCUUUUAUCAGGGAAGAAAAUAUUCAAAUUGACGGUACCUGAUGAAUAAGCUCCGGCUAACUACGUGCCAGCCGCAGC
rnacentral:rRNA from 1 species